CGGACGGGUGAGUAACGCGUGAGAAUCUGGCUUCAGGUCUGGGACAACCACUGGAAACGGUGGCUAAUACCGGAUGUGCCGAAAGGUGAAAGGUUAACUGCCUGAAGAUGAGCUCGCGUCUGAUUAGCUAGUUGGAAGUGUAAUGGACUCCCAAGGCGACGAUCAGUAGCUGGUCUGAGAGGACGAUCAGCCACACUGGGACUGAGACACGGCCCAGACUCCUACGGGAGGCAGCAGUGGGGAAUUUUCCGCAAUGGGCGAAAGCCUGACGGAGCAAUACCGCGUGAGGGAGGAAGGCUCUUGGGUCGUAAACCUCUUUUCUCAGGGAAGAACACAAUGACGGUACCUGAGGAAUAAGCAUCGGCUAACUCCGUGCCAGCAGCCGCGGUAAUACGGAGGAUGCAAGCGUUAUCCGGAAUGAUUGGGCGUAAAGCGUCCGCAGGUGGCAAUGUAAGUCUGCUGUUAAAGAGUCUAGCUCAACUAGAUAAGAGCAGUGGAAACUACAUGGCUAGAGUACGUUCGGGGCAGAGGGAAUUCCUGGUGUAGCGGUGAAAUGCGUAGAGAUCAGGAAGAACACCAGUGGCGAAGGCGCUCUGCUAGGCCGUAACUGACACUGAGGGACGAAAGCUAGGGGAGCGAAUGGGAUUAGAUACCCCAGUAGUC
rnacentral:rRNA from 1 species